UAUACUGAGUGUGUCAAAUUGUGUCGUGUUUUGUAAAUCAAACAAAUGUUCCCAGGAGGAAGGCGGAGGCCACCAAACCCAUUUCAUUUAUGAUGCAACCUGAAUUUAAAGCCAGGACUCUCGAGGGGCAACUAUCUGUGAUGCUAUAGCACUCCACACCUUCCCAGUGGCUGCAAUUACACACAUCAAGUUUCAGAAUGGAUGACAAGUUUUUCUCGGAAAUACCUGGUUUUGGAGACAACUUGUAGAAUGUUAACCGAGAGUACCAGUGGGGAGAAAUGGCGGUGGCUCUGAAGGAGUAUCUACGUGGGAACUACAGUCCAUCUGCAGCACAAUUCACACAAACAUCAGAGGUCACUGUGACAUACAGCAGGCAGUCGGCAGUCUCGAGAGAAGGGGAGAAUUCGCCUGGAAUCUGGCCUCACUCUGCAGUGGAAGAAAAACAUCACCAUUCACCCAUUCAGAGGUGAACUCAGAGAUUUGUUUUGUGGCGAAUAAGAUGAUGACCAAGUUGGCAAGAAGAGCAAAGAAGGGACUUGGAAGGACACAAGGAUGUGAGGCCUCCCUUGUGACCAGAAGAGGUCUCCAAAGCUGUUCAAAAGGGUCUCGUUCUUUAUCUAUAGAUCAGUAAGAAGCCCUAGAGCAGUCAAAAUGCAUGGUGGAGAAGAUCUCUUCAGUAACAACAAUAAAAGACAGGCAUUCAGUAAAGAAGAAAUUGUAUUAAUCUGGAAAAUGAUGCCCAAGGCCCAUAUUUUGGCUGUCUUGUUCCUCCAAUUCAUGUAUCAGGGAAAAACAAAAUCCUUAUUACCUGAACUUUAUUUGAUGCUUAAGAGUACUAAGUCCCAAAUCUUAAUCAAAGUUUACUGACAUUGAUAUCUUGGCUUAAUAUAUGAUUAAUCCAUUUAUGAAAGAUAGGUAAAGCGAAUACUUUUAGAUAGUUUGUACUAACUGUGGAACCUAAAUGGAACCGUCAUAAUAUUAUUUUGAAAUAUCUAAAGAAUGAAGAAAAGAAAUCUUUGUUGUCUAUCAACCCAUGAUAGUUACUGUGCUUAGCACUCUAUGCAUUGUCCAAUUAAUCCUUAUAAUCCUCAAAAUAAAGUAGUAUUAUCCACAUAUUACAGACACAGAGGCUUAAAAAGUCAAGUAACUGGACCCAAAUCCCAAACACAGUUACCGAGUGAUAAGGAGUGGAUCUUAUGACA